GACAACAAGUUGCAGUUUAGCGCCAUUGGAUAGGACUAAAUAUAGGACAAAAGUCCAUAGACCGCAGUCGUCUCCACUGAAAUGUAGCAUUCAAUAGUCAGGCAUGACAGAGCAAAGUCAGGGUGUUGACCAAUGACAAGAAUGAGCAGGAAGAGAAGCGGGCAGCAUAGACAUUUUAAGUCUGACCAGGAAAUAAGACACAGAUAGGUGAAAAAAAAGCCCUAAAGUAUUAGCUACUAGGUGUCUCACUUGCUUACAUUUGUUGUCCACUGCAUGUUGG